rnacentral:rRNA from 1 species
UGCAUAACACAUGCAAGUCGAGCGGGCCAUCCUGCGAUUAUAUCAAGGGGUGGCUAGCGGCAGACGAGUGAGUAACACGUAAGCAACCUGCCCCUGAAUGGCGAACAACCAGCCGAAAGGUUGGCUAAUACGCCGUAUAAUCUCCCGAGGGCAUCUUCGGGGGAUGAGAGGCCCGCAAGGGUCGUUCAGGGAGGGGCUUGCGGCCCAUCAGCUAGUUGGUAGGGUAACGGCCUACCAAGGCAAUGACGGGUACCCGGCCUGAAAGGGCGGACGGGCACGAUGGCACUGAGACACGGGCCAUACUCCUACGGGAGGCAGCAGUGGGGAAUUUUGGACAAUGGGGGAAACCCUGAUCCAGCAACUCUGCGUGAGGGACGAAGUCUUUCGGGAUGUAAACCUC